rnacentral:misc_RNA from 1 species
AAUGUGAGGCAGGCAUCUCGAGCCCUUAAGCAGGGGAAGAGUUUGAUUAUCUCAGGCUUGGCUGAAUCAAAGAAGGACCAUGGAGUGGAACUCCUUGACAAGCUAGAAUCUGGAAUGGAUGAGCUUCAACAGAUGGUUGAGGAUAGGAACAGAGACGCAGUGGCACCUAAACAGAAGGAGCUGCUUAAUUAUGUUGGAGGGUAAGUAUUAUAAUAGAACCAUGACUAACAGAAUGCUGAAGAUUUAGGUUCUUGAUUACUUUAACAAGUCAAAAAUGAAAUAUGAAAAGAGAGAAAAAAAAAAGAACGUUAGGUAUUGAUACAACAACUCAAAAGAGCAAUUGGAAUGUGUGUUUAAGGGGAAUAGCCUUCUAGUUCUCAACUGUAUCUCAAGAUGUCAAGUUGGGUGAAGAUAAGUUAAAAGCUACAAAAUAGUUACAUAUGCGACAGAAUUCAAUAGUGCUUCAAAAUGUAAAGCUGUACAACACAGGAAUCAAUUCUGGCUGUCAUGUUAUGUUGUUGAAUUCUUGAAUUCUCAACUAAAUGCUAUAAUGAAGUUUCAGGGAAGUUUUCAUGCUGACAACACUAAUAUUCUUAAGCUGGUAAUAACUUUUCUCAAGUCCCACGUCGACUGUGUAUUGGGCAGAAAUUUUUCAUAUAUGAUUUGGGCAAUUCUUCUCCUAUAAGGUGCCUUUUGGGGUGUAGUUACAUUGGUCCAUUUAGCAACAUGGCAUCGGUGCUAACCCUAGUACCAAUGUUGGUUCACUUGUAGAUGUCCAGUCUUGCAAACUUCAUGCUCUAGGUGUCUAUUCCUGGGCAUGAGGCGGGUAUGUCAAGUCCCACAUUGACUGGGUAUUGGGCAAAAAUGUUUUAUAUAUUACUUGGGCAAUCCUCCUCCCGCAAAGUGCUAUUUGGGUGGAGUUAGGCCAAGUCCAUUUUAUUUAUAACUUUGAUAUAAUCAGAUGCUUAAUAAAUGUUCUGAAGUAUUAAUUAUUUUCAUCCAUUUAUUGCGAAUUGAUUAUGCUACUGAGCCACUUGCCGUACAACAUAUGAUCUGCCUGCAAAGCUUGUCAUAAUACCAUUCAAGAAAGACAUGUCUUUGAGCUGAGAUCUUCCUGGGGCAUUGGGUUUCUGCAGUGUUGAAGAGGAUAUGGUGGAUGGCUUCCCUUAUGAAGUGCCUGAAGAGUACCAAAGUAUGCCUCUCUUGAAGGGUAGAGCAGCUGUGGAUAUGAAGGUCAAGGUUAAAGACAAUCCUAAUAUAGAGGAUUGUGUGUUCCGCAUUGUUCUAGAUGGUUACAAUGCUCCUGUAACUGCUGGGAACUUUGUAGACUUGGUGGAAAGGCACUUCUAUGAUGGCAUGGAAAUCCAGAGAGGUAAAAUCAUUAAAAGUAAAAUCAUUUCAUUCUUCUUUGCAUUUGCAUCCCCCACCAAAUAUCUUGCAGAAUAGUGGAGAUCAAAGUGAUUGGGUAUGUUGGUGCUUUUCGCACCUCUUACACUGUUUUGUUCCCCUUUCCAAUAUCACUUCCCUACACACCUACGCUAUGACAAGUUAUCUGUAGUUAUAAAUCAUAUUUUUCAGAUGUAAAUUAAAAGUUUCCCUCAAUUUAUUGCAGCGGAUGGUUUUGUUGUCCAAACUGGGGAUCCUGCAGGUCCUGCUGAGGGUUUUAUUGAUCCUAGUACGGAGAAAACUAGGACUGUACCAUUGGAAAUCAUGGUGAAUGGGGAGAAAACACCGUUCUAUGGGGCAACUUUGGAGGAACUUGGUUUAUACAAGGCUCAGACAAAGCUUCCAUUCAAUGCAUUUGGAACAAUGGCCAUGGCCAGAGAUGAGUUUGAGAACAACUCAGCUUCAAGCCAGGUAUUUUGGCUGCUGAAAGAAAGUGAACUGACUCCCAGCAAUGCAAACAUAUUGGACGGCCGUUAUGCUGUUUUUGGUUAUAUAACAGAAAAUGAGGAUUAUUUGGCUGAUCUUAAGGUUGGUGAUGUGAUAGAAUCCAUGCAAGUGGUUUCCGGUCUGGAUAAUUUAGUUAAUCCAAGCUAUAAAAUUGCUGGCUAGGCCUCAGACAUAUUUUAGGCAAUUAUAUGGUGAAUGAGAGUCUGUUGAGCUCUCCCAAAAGAAUUAGCUGAUGAAGGUACAAUGUUGUGUGUUGGGCAGAUUUCAAAAUUGUCAUUUGUGCCAUUGUUCAGAAAUCUUUCAUUCUUGAAGAUUCUAGUGUUGCGUUGAGAAUGUGCUUUAUUAAUGUUGAUGACUCCAAGAUUGAUUCAUUUCGUUUCUUUAACGUUUAUCUUUUUAUGUUCUCUUGCCCUUUGUAACUCUGGAGCUUGAAUCUUGGUUAGAAUUUCUUUCCUAAAU